rnacentral:rRNA from 1 species
AGCAACAAAUGCCCUGCUUCCAGGAAAAGCCUCUAAGCAUCAGGUAACAUCAAAUCGUACCCCAAACCGACACAGGUGGUCAGGUAGAGAAUACCAAGGCGCUUGAGAGAACUCGGGUGAAGGAACUAGGCAAAAUGGUGCCGUAACUUCGGGAGAAGGCACGCUGACAUGUAGGUGAAGUGAUUUACUCAUGGAGCUGAAGUCAGUCGAAGAUACCAGCUGGCUGCAACUGUUUAUUAAAAACACAGCACUGUGCAAACACGAAAGUGGACGUAUACGGUGUGACGCCUGCCCGGUGCCGGAAGGUUAAUUGAUGGGGUCAGCGCAAGCGAAGCUCCUGAUCGAAGCCCCGGUAAACGGCGGCCGUAACUAUAACGGUCCUAAGGUAGCGAAAUUCCUUGUCGGGUAAGUUCCGACCUGCACGAAUGGCGUAAUGAUGGCCAGGCUGUCUCCACCCGAGACUCAGUGAAAUUGAACUCGCUGUGAAGAUGCAGUGUACCCGCGGCAAGACGGAAAGACCCCGUGAACCUUUACUAUAGCUUGACACUGAACAUUGAGCCUUGAUGUGUAGGAUAGGUGGGAGGCUUUGAAGUGUGGACGCCAGUCUGCAUGGAGCCGACCUUGAAAUACCACCCUUUAAUGUUUGAUGUUCUAACGUGGACCCGUAAUCCGGGUUGCGGACAGUGUCUGGUGGGUAGUUUGACUGGGGCGGUCUCCUCCUAAAGAGUAACGGAGGAGCACGAAGGUUGGCUAAUCCUGGUCGGACAUCAGGAGGUUAGUGCAAUGGCAUAAGCCAGCUUGACUGCGAGCGUGACGGCGCGAGCAGGUGCGAAAGCAGGUCAUAGUGAUCCGGUGGUUCUGAAUGGAAGGGCCAUCGCUCAACGGAUAAAAGGUACUCCGGGGAUAACAGGCUGAUACCGCCCAAGAGUUCAUAUCGACGGCGGUGUUUGGCACCUCGAUGUCGGCUCAUCACAUCCUGGGGCUGAAGUAGGUCCCAAGGGUAUGGCUGUUCGCCAUUUAAAGUGGUACGCGAGCUGGGUUUAGAACGUCGUGAGACAGUUCGGUCCCUAUCUGCCGUGGGCGCUGGAGAACUGAGGGGGGCUGCUCCUAGUACGAGAGGACCGGAGUGGACGCAUCACUGGUGUUCGGGUUGUCAUGCCAAUGGCACUGCCCGGUAGCUAAAUGCGGAAGAGAUAAGUGCUGAAAGCAUCUAAGCACGAAACUUGCCCCGAGAUGAGUUCUCCCUGAGACUUUAGGUCUCCUGAAGGAACGUUGAAGACGACGACGUUGAUAGGCCGGGUGUGUAAGCGCAGCGAUGCGUUGAGCUAACCGGUACUAAUGAACCGUGAGGCUUAACCUUACAACGCCG